GGGGGUGUUACGGCAUUCGACAGUUUGUUGCGGGUGUCAAUAGCACGUCGCAGGCUCGUCUGCGUAAAAACGGAAUGCAAAAAUAAAUGCAAACAAAAAAUCUUUGAACUCGCAAGAGUUCGCUCUUGCUGCUUAAUUUAACGCAGCAUGUCGACCUGUGGUUUUCUGUUUCCACAGCAAUCGGCAUCAUAAAAACAGACAACACCGCCCUACGCUCUUAAAGGCGGUUGUCACUCAGAGCUUACCGAAUCCAAGUUUGUGCUUGCACUAAGAUAAGGGAAAUUUCAAGCAAUCACUAAGCGUGUAGAAGUUGCCAUUUUAUGCAGAUUGGACAGGAGUUCAACUCUCCUCACCUCCACCA
rnacentral:tmRNA from 1 species